rnacentral:rRNA from 1 species
CAGCAGCCGCGGUAAUACGAAGGGGGCUAGCGUUGCUCGGAAUCACUGGGCGUAAAGGGUGCGUAGGCGGGUUUCUAAGUCAGGGGUGAAAUCCUGGAGCUCAACCCCAGAACUGCCCUUGAUACUGGAAGUCUUGAGUAUGGGAGAGGUGAGUGGAACUGCGAGUGUAGAGGUGAAAUUCGUAGAUAUUCGCAAGAACACCAGUGGCGAAGGCGGCUUACUGGCUCAUUCUAGACGCUGAGGUGCGGAAGCGUGGGGAGCAAACAGGAUUAGAUACCCCUGUAGUCCCUGUCUCUUAUAC